GUGCCAGCAGCAGCGGUAAUACGUAGGGUGCAAGCGUUAAUCGGAAUUACUGGGCGUAAAGCGUGCGCAGGCGGUUCGGAAAGAAAGAUGUGAAAUCCCAGGGCUUAACCUUGGAACUGCAUUUUUAACUACCGGGCUAGAGUAUGUCAGAGGGGGUAGAAUUCCACGUGUAGCAGUGAAAUGCGUAGAGAUGUGGAGGAAUACCGAUGGCGAAGGCAGCCCCCUGGGAUAAUACUGACGCUCAUGCACGAAAGCGUGGGAGCAAACAGGAUUAGAUACCCUGGUAGUCCACGCCCUAACGAUGUCAACUAGCUGUUGGGGCUUCGGCCUUUAGAGCGCAGCUAACGCGUGAAGUUGA
rnacentral:rRNA from 2 species